rnacentral:rRNA from 1 species
CAGUCGCCACGGGAAUACGUAGGGUGCAAGCGUUAAUCGGAAUUACUGGGCGUAAAGCGUGCGCAGGCGGUUCGCUAAGACAGAUGUGAAAUCCCCGGGCUUAACCUGGGAACUGCAUUUGUGACUGGCGGGCUAGAGUAUGGCAGAGGGGGGUAGAAUUCCACGUGUAGCAGUGAAAUGCGUAGAGAUGUGGAGGAAUACCGAUGGCGGAGGCAGCCCCCUGGGCCAAUACUGACGCCCAUGCACGAAAGCGUGGGGAGCAAACAGGAUUAGAUACCCGCGUAGUCCCUGUCUCUUAUAC